ACUUUCUUUGACGUGUCGCUCUCUGAGUUAUGAUGGUGAAAGGUGACUUAUUAUUACAGGGGUUUCUUUAAUAAAAGCAACAAUACAGUUCGA